rnacentral:rRNA from 1 species
GGGACACGUGGUAUCCUGUCUGAAUAUGGGGGGACCAUCCUCCAAGGCUAAAUACUCCUGACUGACCGAUAGUGAACCAGUACCGUGAGGGAAAGGCGAAAAGAACCCCGGCGAGGGGAGUGAAAAAGAACCUGAAACCGUGUACGUACAAGCAGUGGGAGCACGCUUAGGCGUGUGACUGCGUACCUUUUGUAUAAUGGGUCAGCGACUUAUAUUCUGUAGCAAGGUUAACCGAAUAGGGGAGCCGAAGGGAAACCGAGUCUUAACUGGGCGUUAAGUUGCAGGGUAUAGACCCGAAACCCGGUGAUCUAGCCAUGGGCAGGUUGAAGGUUGGGUAACACUAACUGGAGGACCGAACCGACUAAUGUUGAAAAAUUAGCGGAUGACUUGUGGCUGGGGGUGAAAGGCCAAUCAAACCGGGAGAUAGCUGGUUCUCCCCGAAAGCUAUUUAGGUAGCGCCUCGUGAAUUCAUCUCCGGGGGUAGAGCACUGUUUCGGCAAGGGGGUCAUCCCGACUUACCAACCCGAUGCAAACUGCGAAUACCGGAGAAUGUUAUCACGGGAGACACACGGCGGGUGCUAACGUCCGUCGUGAAGAGGGAAAC